rnacentral:rRNA from 1 species
GCAAGUCGAACGGAAACUAAGCGGCUUCGGAGACUUCGGUCAAUGUUGCUUGGUUUAGUGGCGGACGGGUGAGUAACGCGUGGAUAACCUGCCUCAUACAGGGGGGAUAACAGUUAGAAAUGACUGCUAAUACCGCAUAAGCGCACAGUUUCGCAUGGAACAGUGUGAAAAACUCCGGUGGUAUGAGAUGGAUCCGCGUCUGAUUAGCUAGUUGGCGGGGUAACAGCCCACCAAGGCGACGAUCAGUAGCCGGCCUGAGACGGGUGAACGGCCACAUUGGGACUGAGACACGGCCCAAACUCCUACGGGAGGCAGCAGUGGGGGAUAUUGCACAAUGGGGGAAACCCUGAUGCAGCCGACGCCGCGUGAGUGAAGAAGUAUUUCGGUAUGUAAAGCUCUAUCAGCAGGGAAGAUAAUGACGGUACCUGACUAAGAAGCACCGGCUAAAUACGUGCCAGCAGCCGC